rnacentral:rRNA from 1 species
UACAGAGGGUGCAAGCGUUGUCCGGAUUUAUUGGGCGUAAAGAGCUCGUAGGCGGCUCGUUGCGUCGGCUGUGAAAACCCGCAGCUCAACUGUGGGCUUGCAGCCGAUACGGGCGGGCUGGAGUUCGGUAGGGGAGACUGGAAUUCCUGGUGUAGCGGUGAAAUGCGCAGAUAUCAGGAGGAACACCGGUGGCGAAGGCGGGUCUCGUGGGCAGUAACUGACGCUGAGGAACGAAAGCGUGGGUAGCAAACAGG